rnacentral:rRNA from 1 species
UUGGAGGGCAAGUCUGGUGCCAGCAGCCGCGGUAAUUCCAGCUCCAAUAGCGUAUAUUAAAGUUGUUGCAGUUAAAAAGCUCGUAGUUGAAUUUCGGGAUUAGUACGUUGGUCGUGCCUUAGGUACGUACUGGUGUUACUGGUUUCUACCUUCUGACGAACCAUCAUGUCAUUAAUUUGGUGUGGUGGGGAAUCAGGACUGUUACUUUGAAAAAAUUAGAGUGUUUAAAGCAGGCUCGCGCUUGAAUACAUUAGCAUGGAAUAAUGAAAUAGGACGUUGAUCCUAUUUUGUUGGUUUCUAGAAUCGACGUAAUGAUUAAUAGGGAUAGUUGGGGGCAUUAGUAUUCAAUUGUCAGAGGUGAAAUUCUUGGAUUUAUUGAAGACUAACUACUGCGAAAGCAUUUGCCAAGGAUGUUUUCAUUAAUCAAGAACGAAAGUUAGGGGAUCGAAGGCGGUCAGAUACCGUCGUAGUCUUAACCAUAAACUAUGCCGACUAGGGAUCGGAUGAUGUUAUUUUUAAUGACUCAUUCGGCACCUUACGGGAAAC